CCUCAACCCACCCUCACCACAAACAAUGGUUUUAACAGUUGUAAACAUGCCCCAUUAACAUGAUCAUUUUAAUGUAAAGCAAAUGUGCUGUUUUUAUGUCUCCUUCCCUUACCUUCCCCAAACACACACUUUUUAGAAAGAUACAUUUUCUGUCAAGUGUGGUCCUGUUUAUACUUUACUUUGGAAGGUUGCACUGCACUGUUUAUAACAGCUGAUAUACUGUUGGUGUUCGGUUUUCUUUUGCUUGGUUUUUUAUCUUACUUUCUCUCAAUGUUUAGCUGGAUUUUAAUGCGCCCUAAUAACUUUUUGUAUCAGACCAAAUAAGGUCCCAGAGUGAUUGUCUGAUUUUUAAUUUGUAAAAAUGACAUUUUUUUCCUGUACUUUUUUCCUGUAUGAUAUCCAUGAAAUUGAUGUCCCUGGAUAAAUACAUUUGAUUAAACAAAUAAAACAACCAUAACCUGUGCUAGAAAUGAAGAAUUCAAGACACUGAGCAGAUUUCAAAUAAUUUAAAGCCCAGCAUCAAAAUGAGUUUUAGGUAUAUCUCAUUUUAAUAGAAACAAGAAGUCAACUUCAAUAUAUCCCCUUGCACGUGUCGGGAAAGCCAAGAUUUCAAUAUUCUCCUACACCUAGAUGAUAUAUGUGUUUAGAUGUUGGAAGAAAUGUAACACGUUUAUUUUCCAAAACACUUUCCUCACGUGCAAACGGAAAAGUGACAAAGAAAUCAGCACUGGCUCAGCCUUGCGUAAUCUCAGUCAGCUGGGACAUAAACAAGAUUAAAAAUACAGUGUAUUUCCACGACGUUUUGGAUACUGUUGACGUGUGUUCCCUUCACGGGAAGGAAAAAACGGUUGCUAUUUUACUUCAUUAUGCAUAUAUUGUUGCCUUAGGAAUAAAGAAGACACUAUGUUCACUGGUAUUUCUAAUAAAGACCAGCAAGCCAUAUGUGAAUGGAUCAAAAGUAAUGGGAGCAGCCUUAAACCAAAUCUAAAGCACAGUGGAUAUGUAAAUUGUGACUAAUUCUAACAAUUGCUCUUGAAUAUGUUAUUGUUUCAGAUUGUAACCGUUUUAUUGAUCCAAUAAGUCUUGCUCACUAUAGACACCCAUGCUUUGUGAUUCGAUUAAAUAUAGCGUUUGAAAAACAUUUUGUACCUUUUGUUUUCACAUUUUUACAUUGUAUUUGAUGUAACUUAGUUUCAACUAUUGCCUAUUAAAAUGUAAUUAUUUGUAUGUAAAGUCAACUUUAAUCAUCCACCAAUCGUCAUGUGUUUCCCAUGCACCAUUUCCAUCGAUUUCAACUUUUUUGUAAAUAUGUCAUUUGCUAAAAUGUCAUUAAAAAGUUGUAGUGUCGAUGGAGUUUCCAACUACCACGUGGCCUAUGGGGAUUUUUUUUCAAAUACCCUAAUUCAUAUUUAUAAUUGUACAUUUACGUCGUUUAGCAGACGCUCUG
rnacentral:lncRNA from 1 species